rnacentral:rRNA from 1 species
AACGAACGUUGGCGGCGUGGAUUAGGCAUGCAAGUCGAGCGAAUCCCCGCAAGGGGGGAAGCGGCGAAAGGGGCAGUAAGGCAUGGGUAACCUACCCUGGGGACUGGGAUAGCCCUUCGAGAGAAGGGGUAAUACCGGGCGACGUGCCGGAGAGGCAUCUCUUUGUCACCAAAUGAGUUUCGCCCGGGGAGGGGCCCAUGUGAUAUUAGCUAGUUGGUGAGGUAACGGCUCACCAAGGCGAAGAUGUCUAGCGGGUGUGAGAGCACGACCCGCGCCACUGGCGAUGGGACACUGGCCAGACACCUACGGGUGGCUGGAGUCGAGGAUCUUCGGAAAUGGGCGCAAGCCUGACCGAGCGACGCCGCGUGUGCGAUGAAGGCCUUCGGGUUGUAAAGCACUGUCGAGAGGGAGAAAAGCGAAAGCUUGAUCUAUCUCUGGAGGAAGCACGGGCUAAGUUCGUGCCAGCAGCCGCCGUAAGAC